rnacentral:lncRNA from 10 species
CGUGCGUGCGCCUGCGCACCAGCGCCGUCCGCCGCGAAGCCUCACGGGAAGCGGAGUUCCUAAGGCCGCCUGCGGCCCGGCAAUUACCCCCUGGGUCCUCUCACACUUAGCAGUGGGUGUCAGAUGGUGGAAGGGAACGCUCAGGGAGGCCCCGGGCGGUGAGUUGUCCCUCGGGCGGGGACGCCCUCGUGGGCAGUGCGGCGUGGACGGCGCAAGGAAGAACCCGGAGAGAUCCCAAGCCACGAGGCACCGCUUCCGGCGCAUUGUGAGGUCCCACCUUUCCCGCCGCCUGAGGUCGCGGCGGCUGCUCUUUCCCGGAGCAGCGUCCCUGGAGGCGCUGCCAGGGGGUGAGGCACCCACGCGUGCACCGUAUGUACCCCCCAGCGCGGCGCUUAGAACGACUCGCAUGAGUCGCUGCCUUGGGUUGGAACCGGUUACUCCGCCGCUUCGUACUGGACUGCAAAGUAACAAGUACUUCGCCGGGCAGCGGUGCCGACCCCGUGUGCUACGGCGAGAGGUGCUUAGCCUAGAGCCGACGAAAACAUGUCCCCAGGACUCCCUUUCCCUCCCAGACUGCGUCCCACCAGAUGGAGCUUUCCGUCUGUUUUAACCACCAGUGUAUUCCUGAUGCCUGACCCAGGCGCUGAAAUAUUUGUUGAACGAAUAAAUGUGUAGGUUAGGACUGACGACAGUCCGCGAAUUCUGGAACACGGGCUGAUUUUACUUUUGAACAAAUGAUGCACUGGAACUUCCUGACAGAGCUGACCUUUUAUAGGAACAUCAAUGGCAGUCACCGCUGGCAUUUUAGCAAAGGUUGUCUUGGUCAUAAUUUCCCCUUGACUGUGUUUCCAGCCCUUAAUCUAUAUCGGGUGGGACCUGGAAGUCUACCUUCUCGCCACCCCUCGGCAAAAGUUUGAGAAAGUGUUUGAGGCAGAGCCUCCUCUCUCAUAUGCCCUCCAUCUGCGAAUUAGAACGAAUUAUAAGUUCUACGGUGUCACAUAGGGGGUUAGCGGAGAGGAAGAGGGAAAGAAUCAAAUACAGGACGCUGCCUUAACCAAAGUUCUAAACUCUAAAUGUAAUAAUGUGCAUUUGUGAGUCCUCAGGAAGUUUCACAAAGGCUUUCCCUUUUUUCACAGAAUGUCUAGUAGGACUGGUGACUCCGAAUGGGAAAAACACAGGACCUAGACCUGCCCUGUCCAUUAGUGUAGCCCCUUGGCCACUUAGGGCCACUGAGCACUUGAAAUGAGGCUAGUUCGUUUAGGAGGCACUGGAAGUGCAAAAUACGCACGGGUGUCAGUUCGACGAAUGUGAAAUACCUCACUGAUCACUUUUUAUAUUGAUUGCACGUUGAAAUAUUUUGGAUAUAUUGCAGUAAAGAAAAUGUAAGCCGGGCACGGUGUCUCACACCUGUGAUCCAGCACUUUAGGAGGCUGAGGUGGGAGGAUCGCUUGGGCAGGAGUUAGAGACCAGCCUGGGCAAUAUAGGGAAACCCCCGUCUAUACAAAAAGUUAAAAAAAAAAAAAAAAAAAGAAAAAAGAAAAAAAAAUUAGCUGGGCAUGGUAGUUCCUGCCUGUGGUCCCAGUUACUCCGGAGACUGAGGUAGGAGGAUCCCUGGAGUGGGAGGUGGAGGCUGCCGUGAGUCGUCAUCUCACUACUGCACUCCAGCCUGCGUUGACAGAACGAGAUCCUGUCUCAAAAAAAAAAAAAAGAAAAUAUACUAUUAAAAUUAAUUUUACCUGUUUUUUUAAAUGUGACCACUAGAAAAUUUUAAGUUAUAUAUGUGGCCUUCAUUUCCAUUAAAUAGUGCUGAUCUGCAAACAGACUUAUAUUUGAUUGUCAUUUCUUCCAUUUAGUCUCUUUUCCUCUUGUCAUCAAGGUGGCUUUGGCUGGAGACCCAGUAGCAUAGUUG